rnacentral:rRNA from 1 species
UCGAGAAUUUUUCUCAAUGGGGGAAACCCUGAAGGAGCGACGCCGCGUGGAGGAUGAAGGUCUUCGGAUUGUAAACUCCUGUCAUUUGGGAACAAUUGUCACCUAUUAACUACAGCGGACUUGAUAGUACCAGAAGAGGAAGAGACGGCUAACUCUGUGCCAGCAGCCGCGGUAAUACAGAGGUCUCAAGCGUUGUUCGGAUUCAUUGGGCGUAAAGGGUGCGUAGGUGGCGGGGUAAGUCAGGUGUGAAAUCUCGGAGCUCAACUCCGAAACUGCACUUGAUACUGCCUUGCUCGAGUACUGGAGAGGAGAUUGGAAUUUACGGUGUAGCAGUGAAAUGCGUAGAUAUCGUAAGGAAGACCAGUGGCGAAGGCGAAUCUCUGGACAGUUACUGACACUGAGGCACGAAGGCCAGGGGAGCAAACGGGAUUAGAUACCCCUGUAGUCC